AUGGUGCACUUCUCCACUGCUGGUCUUCAACAUGAUAACUUUUCAGGUCCUUCUGGGUUGUUCUCCUAGGUUCAAAAUCCCCACACCAGAGCACAAGUGGCACCAAUACAGGGGAUAAUGUCGCCUCUCACAGAAGAGUAGCUGCUGGCCAGACUGCCCCUGUGUCCUAUAGGGCUCCUACUGGUGUUUUCAAGCAAGAACGCAGUCCCCCCCAGUUUGUGCAUACAGGACCAGUGGUUGUUGGUGUGAGCUCCAUGCCUGAAGCUGGUUACUCUACUGGUACUGUUCCUAUGCCAGCAGGAUAUUAUAGUGCUGGUUCCUUUAUGCCAGGAUAUGAUGGUGGCUCUCAACAGACUGGAGCAGCUCAGUCUUCCCUCCCAGAUGCAAAGUGAAAAAUUGCUCCUCAAGCCUUUGAGGAAGCAUCAACUGACACCCAAAGCCAGAGUUCUAGUGCCUUUGGCCCUCCUCUCCCACCCCCUGCACCUGCCCUCCAGUCUGGGGAGACUUCUAAUGUGAAGGAAGCUGAACUUGGGAACUUCCAUCAGCAGACAGAGGAGUUUGGUUAUCCAGCUAUGGGGCCUGCUCAGGGUUUUUGACCUGUAGUUCUAAGUCCUGGUGUGUGGGGCUACCCCCUUCCUUACCCUUUCCCCUUCCCUUACCCUGAUUUUGACAACAGGCUUCUGUAUGGCCUGUACCCUCCUGGCACCUACACUACCUUCAGCAAAUAACACGAGAAGGGCAAAGACUACUACCAGACCAUCCACCAUCUGAAAGAACAUGGUUCUGAUGCUCCUGACACACUCCAGAACCCUGGAACUGGACAGCAGAAAAUCUUCCCACAUGCCCAUAAGAAGUCCUAAAUCUGAAUAUGACAAAGAUGGAGAAUUCUUGAGGAUAUCCCAGUCUUUUAAUAAACCUUUCCCAAGACAUCUUAA